rnacentral:rRNA from 1 species
UACAGAGACUGCAAGCGUUAUUCGGAUUCACUGGGCGUAAAGGGUGCGCAGGUGGCCAGGUGUGUGAGGCGUGAAAGCCCGGGGCUUAACCCCGGAAUUGCACCUCAAACUACUUGGCUAGAGCAUUGGAGAGGGGAGCAGAAUUCGAUGGUGUAGCAGUGAAAUGCGUAGAUAUCAUGAGGAAUACCAGAGGCGAAGGCGGCUCCCUGGACAAUUGCUGACACUCAGGCACGAAAGCGUGGGGAGCAAAAGGG